rnacentral:tRNA from 1 species
GCCCAUGUGGUGAAAUUGGUAAACACGCCAUCUUGAGGGGGUGGUAUCUUUUAUUAGAUAUGCUGGUUCGAAUCCAGUCAUGGGUA